UCUCAACAGGUCAGGCAGUUGGAACAUAUCAUUGGGCUGGCCAAAAAGUUCGUGUAGUUUUUUUCUACAUGAUGACUCUAGUAGCGCUUAGUUGCCUUUAACUUCAUUUGAAACAAUUUUCUUGGAUUGUAUUGUGACAACUGUCAUAUCAGCAUGAAUUUUCUAAAACACUUAUCAGAACUGGUGCAUUUUUGUGCAGCCAUUUUAAUAUUGAAGAUGGAACAAGAUACGCAACAUUUUUAGCACAUUAUGCUUUAUUAUUUCAAGAAAGGUAAAAAUACAACUGAAAUGCAAAAAAAAAUGUGUGUAGUGUACAGAGAAGGUGCUGUGACUGAUUGAAAGUGUCAAAGUGGUUUGAGAAGCUUCUUGGCACUACUUACAUUUUGGCCAAAUAAUUCUUUGCUGUGGGGCUGUCUUAUGCAUUGGAAGAUGUUUGGCAGCACCCCUGGCCUCCACCCACUACAAGCCAAUAACAGGAGAUACCUGACAUACUCAUAAUAUCCAAAUCAAUAAAGUUAUUA